GCCGGCCGGCCGAAGAGAUUAAAGCAUGUCUACGCUGUCAUCAGCUCCGCGCAUCUUUUUCCAACUCCCCAAACCCUGUGGUCCGGUCCGCAGCUGUUCCCCUUCUGCAUACACCUGGCUUAGUCAGGCAGGAUUCCAAAGUGAGGGGACCCACAGCUCCUGAGACUGACGGGACGGACACGUGGCCACCCACUUGUAUGUGGUUCCCGGUGGCGGAUGUCCUGUUGAAUUGGGCCCCUGCGGAAGGGAGGGAGCCGUGGAUGGUACCCCCGUCAGCAUCCAGCCGGCUCUGCAUAGCCUUGGGGAGCAGGUGCUGGGACGGCUGGGUGGGCUGUUUUGGACAGCCCUACGUCGCAACACGGAGUCUGCCCUGCGGGAUGCGGACCGCAUACUGGAGCUGCGAGCCAAGGAGGCCGCCGUGGAAGCGCGGGUGCCGCAGUUAGCACAGGAGUUGGAAAUGGCGCCUCGCAGCCGGACGGCGGAGGACGCUCAGGACAGGACGUGGAGGAAGCACGCCCUCUCCAUGCUCAGGCAGUAAUCUAGCAAAAGGUAAAGCACGAGCAGCCCCUGGGCCCAGGAGGUGUCGCGCAAGGAGCCCCAGUCGUGACAAAGUUCACGGCGUAUACCUUAUACGCCAACGGACCUGCGGGACUAGUACCGGCCUGGCUCCUGCGGCUAUGGGAUGAGGGGGCGGAUGGUGUCAUCUGUGCCCCAGAUGAGAUGGAGAAGCUGUCCUCCAUCACGUUGCAUCCUUCCCUUCGGCAGCAGCUACAGAUUAGCCGCCGGCUAGCCUAAGGGCAGGGGAAUCGCUCCAAGAUGGAGUGGGUGACGGCUGUCGCCUGGACAGGUGUGGCAUAACGCCUGGGAGCUUCCAGAGACUGUAAGUUGGUGGCAGACCUAUGGGAACUGGUCCAAGUUAUCCGCGAAUUGGGAAUGCGGCCCCGUCUAAUUCUUUUGGGUCCUUGGUGACGAUUUUGGCACCUUAUGUGGGGUGCCGGAUACAUGAAAUAACUACUGUCAUGGCCACUUUGGGGAACGCAGAAGGCCGGAGGAGGGAAAGAACCCUGCGUGUCGCACGGCAGAUGGCGCCCAAGCCUAAGCGAGUCACCCACAUGCAGAUGUGGAUAGAUCUGCUAGCCGCAGGCACCGGUCAGGCGAUAACAGACCGCAAACGAAGGCUGUCUUGGUGGUGCUGUGGCGCCAGUUGAAGUCUGAGCAACAGUCCCAAAAGAUGGCAGGAGUGAGGAAGAGUCCUGGCAAGAGUCGCCAGGUAAGGCUCCAGGACUUCAUGCAGUCCUCAGGAGGAGAGCCUGCGGACCUCUUUGACUAGGGGGAAGGCCCAGGUGCCCGGCUUGGGGGGAUCCCCGGAGGACUGGAGGCCAUUUGUGGAACUUGAGAUUUACUGGUCCCCCAACAAUGUACAGCGUCUGCUGACAUUUGUAAACACUGGAGCCAAUUGCAGUUUGAUUACGGCAACCCGGAGAAGUUUCCAGGGAAGCCGGCAUAUAUUGAUGGAUACGGGGGCCAUAUGGUGAAGGUGAAACUGGUGUCCUUGCCCCUUGGUGUUUGUCGCCUGCUGCCCCGGGUGUAUACAGCGUAUGUGUCCUCUAUCCCCAAGUAUGUUCUGGGGGUGGAUGUCUUGCAAGGACUGCACCUACAGGCCACAAUAAGCGAAUUCCGGUUGCGCGUGGUUAAGACUGUUGUCUGGGGCAUACGCACCAUCCGCCACAAGUGUUGCUGGUGCCGUGGGGUGUGGUGGCCAGCCGACAGUAUCGCCUUCCAGGUGGACAUGAGGAGAUCACACAGACCAUUGACAAACUAGAAGAGGCUGGGGUCGUGCGACCCACCCACAGUCCCUGUAACUCUCUGAUUUGGCCCGUGAGGAAGCCCCGCAUAUGACUGUGGACUGUGGUGGCAGACCUAUGGGAACUGGUUAUCUGCGAAUUGUUAUCCGCGAAUUGGGAAUGCGGCCCCGUCUAAUUCUUUUGGGUCCUUGGUGACGAUUUUGGCACCUUAUGUGGGGUGCCGGAUACAUGAAAUAACUAGGUGACUCCUGCGUUGCAUGUUGCUUGUGCCCUCCGUGAGUGAUAUAAUGGAUCAACUGACAGUCCGGCUGGGAUAGUACCACUGUGCUGUGGACCUUGCUAUUGCCUUCUUUUCUAUUGACAUUGCCACCGAGAGCCAAGAACAGUUUGCUUUCACCUGGGAUGGCAGACAAUGGACUUUCUGUGUGUUGCUGCAAGGAUACCUGCACAGCCCCGCUAUUUGUCGUGGGCUCAUUGCUCCGGACUUGGCUGCCUGAGCUCACAGUGAUGCAGAGCUUGUGUUUCAUUACAUUGACGAUGUUAUGUUAACCUCUGACUCUCUUGCAGAUCUAGAGCAGGCUGUUGACUCCCUGUGGAGACAUCUGGCAACAUGUGGUUGGACCAUCAACGAUGCCAAAGUCCAGGGACUUGGCUUAUCUGUCAAGUUCUUGGGGAUUGUCUGGUCAGGUAAGACAUGGGUGAUACCCGAAGCAAUCAUUGACAAGAUACUGGCAUACCCCUUGCCAACGACUGUAACCCAACUGCAAACGUUUCUGGGCCUGCUGGGGUAUUGGUGGGUGUUUAUCCAGAUUUAGCCCAGGUGGUGAGACCCCUGUAUGCUAUGGUAAAAAAGGAGCCCCUUGGGACUGGACAGAUGCUGUGAACCAACCAUUUAAAGCCGCCAAGUGUACUGUGCAGCAGGCACAAGCCUUACAGACUUAUUUAUGGUGAUACUUCCUUCCUGCGACAGGCCUUCUAUCUUAAAUUCUUUUAGGCAGUUACGAGGAAUGUCAAAGUUUCCUUCUGUCUUUUGUUUUUAAAAAUAAUCAAGCCAAAGAGACACAUUUUGGGUGGCAAAUUCUGAUCCCCCACAAGUAAAUGAUGGUUUCCAUGUUCCUUUAAUAUCACCAACACUUGGUACUGUUAAAGAUAAAUUGAGACAUAUUAAAAAUUUUUUACGAGUUUAUUUGAACAAACAUCAAUUUGAAUCAGGCAGCACCAAACUGGAAGUGGUUAGGAGCACUCCAUCGACAGGAGCUAGUGGCAAGGUUUUCACAGAGAAGAUGUGGAAGCAAAGCAAGGAAAUUAUUUGAUUGGCUAUAGCUUAAGCCAUUGCAUUAUGUGGGAAAGCCUGGUUGGCUGUUUGUGAUUGGUUGUUUCUCUUAACUUCGAGGCAUUUACAGAAAUUGACUCUGGCUUAGGUUUCGGUUUGCUUAUGUAGGCUAUCAAGGCAUUGGAGCCACUUCAGUCCAGUGGCCUCUCUGUCUGAUUACUUUCACAAUUCUCCCCUGUCGGUCAUCCUCUCAUCCAUAAGAGAGUGACCAAACAUUUGGUAUUAGUGCCACUCUCAGUCACCAUCAGGUUUAAGCUGUUCCUGUCUCAUGAAACUUGUGAAACUGGUAGGUUAUGAUAUCAAGUUUGUGGAAGAAUUGUUUUUGCUUUCUAUUUCAUUGUUCCUUUAGUUUCUCUCUUCAAGUGCAGUGUGACCAUUUGAUGUCUGCGAACAUGUUUUUAGGACCCUUGAGAGAACACAGCACACCAGGGAGACCACAGCGAUACUAUGAGGAGGAUAAAAUAUCAAGAGACUGAAGUACGCUCCUUAGCCAGGUCCUCCAUGAUCCAGACCGGUUGGUAUCAAAUAAAUUAAAGAAUCUACCUGAAGAGGCAUCAGCCUGUUUUUGCCAGGUGGCUUGUUUGUUAGUUUCUUCUAUCUAGUGUAGCACCAGAGGGGUUGAUCUAGGUACAGCAAGAGCUGUAUGCUCUGGCACAGACUCCUCUUUGUUUAGCCAAUAAGUAAGCGAAAGCAAUUCUAUUAUCUGAAACCACCUUAGCAAGAAAGUCUAAGGACUUUUGCUGUGCAGUUAUGGCCUUGGUGGUAAAUUCAGUGAUAGCUGCCAGAGUUAAGAAGCAUCGUUUCCUCAUGCACUAACAAAGAGAAAAAGCAAGUAGCAAGAGGGCAAAAGGAGUAAGAGUUUCAUACUGGAGGUGAAGGUCCUGAUCCGUGAUCUUGGGAGAGCUGUCCACCUCAAGAUGUCGUCAGCUUCUGGGGAGGAACCUCUCUAGUCGAUUUUAAUUUUAGAUCUCCAGCUGCUAUGCAGUUCCAAGAGGCUGCAGGAACCCUUUUUAACUGUGAGAUGUGGCCUCAAGUUUCAAGGCCCUGAAGUUUGGCUAUUAUCUGGGUAGUGAGGAGGACCUGAUAUGGUCUCUUUCAGUGAGGUUCAAGGGCAGUCUUUCUUCUUUGUGAUUCCACGUCAGAAGAGUGGGAGAAAGUUGGAAACGUGAGUUUGGAGAGUUGUAGCUAGAUCUUUAGGGAAGCCAGAAAAAUUCAGGAUCUAGUCGAGUUUACAGGUGUAUAACAAAACCUCAAAGACAAUGAACAGAACUAGAAUCUGAUAUUCACAAGAGUGUGUUACAGUUUUUUACUAAAACAUAAUUUUUCUCUUUAUAAUCACCCCUAUUUUUAGCAAAGAUAACCAUAGUAAGACUAAUUUGUUUGCAAAAUAAGUCUAGUCUUAUUAAACGCAGCCUGAUUAUUCACAUAAGUGCAACAAAAAUAGUGACUGAGCCAGCCCUGAUGGCCUAGCAGUUACAAGUUCUGUGUGCUUUGCUUUGGCAGCCCAGGUUGGGUUCCCAGGCAUGGAACCACACCACUCAGCUGUCAGUACCAUGCUGUGGCAGUGGCUCACAUAGAAGAACCAGAAGAAGUUACAACUAUACACAACUGUGAACUGGGGCUUUGGAGGGGGUAAAAAAAAAAAAACAAAAAAACAAGGAGGAAGACUGGCAACAGUUGUUAGCUUAGGACAAAACAAGAAGAGUGAUUGACCACAUAGGCCCUUUUUUUUUUUUUUGAGGAAGAUUGGCCCUGAGCUAACAUCUGCACCAGUCUUUCUUUAUUUUAUGUGGGAUGCCGCCAUAGCAUAGUUUGACUAGUGGUGCUAGGUCCAUGCCUGGGAUCUGAACCUGCAAACCCCAGGCCACUGAGGUGGAGUGCGUGAACUUAACCGCUACGCCACUGGGCCGGCCCCCACACAGUCUUUUUAAAAGUCUGCCUUGCUGCCUCUUGAAGCCAGGAAGUGAAACCAAGGACUUGCCAGACAUUUCCUGGAAUACCUAUAUAUUUGGGUGAAUUUUUAUUUUCUUGAGGUCCCUCAAAUAUUCUCAUGUUCCCCAGGCUACCAGGAAGUGACCUUUCUUACUCAACCGGUAAGGCUAGGAACCCUGUAGGUAACACAACAGGAGGUUUUUCCAAGGAGCUUUAUUAUCUCCAUAUUAGCUCCAUCGACUAACCUUGGUUUCUGAAAACUGGUCAUAUCUGAUUUUAUGCACAUCAUUUUUAAAUGUGACAUUUCAGUCAAAGCCUUGGUAAUAUAACCAAUGUUUCCAAUUGUAUUCUGUUACAAGGAGAAUAGAUUUUAUUGUAUCUAUGCAAAUAACUAUAUUGCCAUGAAAAUAAAAAUACUUAAUAAGAAUUUCAGGGGUCGGCCCCGUGGCCGAGUGGUUAAGUUCGCUCGCUCUGCUUCAGCAGCCCAGGGUUUCCCCGGUUUGGAUCCUGGGCACAGACAUAGCACUGCUCAUCAAGCCAUGUUGAGGCGGCAUCCCAUAUGCCACAACUAGAAGGACCCACAACUAAAAAUUUGCAACCAUGUAACAGGGGGCUUUGGGGGGAAAAAGGAAAAAUAAAAUCUUUAAAAAAAAAAAUCAAAAAAUAAUAAAACAAUUUCAUAAUUCUGGAGGGAUCAGGUAAGGAGAAAAAGAUAAAUGUUUUAAUUCUGUUUACAAAGGUAUAAUUUACCAAAUUGCUGUGAGUUAUAGAUAACAAGAGAAAAAGAUUUCCUUAAAUCUGGAAAACAAAAGAUCAAAGAACCAGCAAUGUUUCAAACAAAAAGUCAUAAAAAUUAUAACUAUCCUUAUCAGUUCAUUUAAUCCCAUGUUAUUAAUUCCUGUUCUCCUUGAAUCCAAUUUUUUCAUCAGAGUUCUGGAAAUUCCUACUCAGUUUAGUGGUACAAUCUUAAAAAGUUAUCAGGAACCUGUAUUCUACAGUACUUGUCAGAGUCUUCAUUAUAAAUCUCUCUGAAGAUGGAGCACUUUUACAGAAGCAUCAGAGUAAAACAAUAACUGUCUAUAAAUGACAAAAAAAGACUUUAAAAUGGCCAUCGUUAAAGAUCGGAUGAGGGGCUGGCUCUGUGGCCAAGUGGUUAAGUUCCGGCACUCCACUUCAGUGGCCCGGGGUUCGCUGGUUCGGAGCCCAGGUGCAGACCUACACGCCCUCAUCAAGCCAUGCUGUGGCAGCCUCCCACAUGGAGGAAAGAGAGUGACCUGCAACUAGGAUAUACAGCUAUGCACUGGGGCUUUGGGGAGAAAAAAAAAGGGAGAUUGGCAACAGCUGUUAGCUCAGGACCAAAGUUCCUCAUCAAAAAAAAAAUACAUCGGAUGAGUUCAUUUGAUAAGGAAAUUUAGUUAUUUCGGUGUCAUACAACAAUUUAAGAUAAUAAUUGAACAAUGAAGGUAUUGACAAAUUUCUGUGAACUUCAAAUCAUUCUUGGAAUGCCUAUAUUAGUAAUAUAUAUCUAUACACAUGUAACCUAAGAAGGUUUAUUAUCACUUUUUAUUUGACAAUGCUUCUUGUGUAAUUUAACAUGCAAAAAAACCUAAUUAGUUUAAUAUCUUUCUUUCACAAGGUAAGAGACAAAUGUUUUGAGCUUUUUCCAGGGGCCCUUUGGGAAAUCUCAAAGUUAAUCUGAGAUCAAAAAGACUCCAUUUAAGGGCCAGCCUGGUGGCACAGUGGUUGGGUUCACGCAUUCCGCUUCAGCAGCCCAGGGUUCGCCGGUUCAGAUCCCAGGCAUGGACCCACACGCUGCCUAUCAAGCCAUGCUGUGGUAGGCGUCCUACAUGUAAACUAGAGGAAGAUGAGCACAGAUGUUAGCUCAGGGCCAGUCUUCCUCAGCAAAAAGAGGAGGAUUGGCAGCAGAUGUUAGCUCAGGGCUGAUCUUCCUCAAAAAAAAAAAAAGACUCCAUUUAAAAUUUGAUUUGGGGAAGUUGUCAAAAAUGUUAAAAGUUUUGAACAUUAAAUUAAAUAAAUUAUGUAUUUAUGUAUACAUAUAUAAUAUUUUAAUAUAAAUAUAUAAUAGAUAAAUUGUGUAUAUGUAUAUAUAAUAUAUAACUAAUAAAAACAAAGUUCCAUAGCUUGAUCCAACUGGAAAUCCACUGUUUGUAUACUAAAUUUAUAUAUUAAAAAUAGCAUAUAAGAAAAAACAAAAAGGGUGCUAAUUGGCUUUUGUGGUGUACAACAUAGGUUCUAAAUUAACUUUAACAUUGGCUGAAAUGCACCAAUUGGCAAAACUUUAUGGACUUAAUUCUGGGGCUCAAGUUAGUUAUACUGGGGAUCUCACUAAAUUUAAACAUUGGCCCCCAAUAAUAUUAAAAAGAUAACUAAAUAUAAAAUGGAGGAAAAAUGGUUAUGCCUCACUCUAACUGUAGCCUUUCCUAAAUUUCCCUUAGUCAUGAUACCUAUUGCCCUAAAAUAUUCCAUAUUGAACACAGAGGCUCUGAUACAAUAAAUAAUGAACUAAAAUUAAAGUAAGUCCUUGAUACUUACAAAUUGGCUUGAAAAUGGGACCCAUGAACGUCCAGUUAAAAUAGUUAAUAUGGCCCAAUAUAAGUUAAAUCAGGGACUUCAAGGAUUAAAUUUACAUAUGAAACCUAAUCAAUAAAGAGGUGAUUAACUCCACUGCUUCUCCAUUUGACAGUCCAAUUUUGCCUGUUCUUAAAUUUGAAAAAAAUAAAAGGCGCCUCAUGGUGGAUUACUAUGACCCUAAUGCUUUGGUCCCAUCCAAGGCCCCCAUAUCCAAUACCCAAUAUUCUUAAAAUUACUGAUUCUAUUCAAUUAACAACCAAUAAACAUUUUACUCAUAGAUUCGGCUAACAUGUUCGUUCAGUGCCUAUGACAAUGGCCUCUCAACUGCAGUUUGCCUCCCCGCCUCUGAAGGGACACGGUACACAUUUUCCAGGCUACCCAUGGUACCUGCAACUGCCAUCACACACAGUCUUUAUAGACAAGACUUCAACUACAUCCACCUUUCUCCAGGAGCACAGGAGACACCUGCCUGCCUCAUAUCAGUCAACUCUUUGACCCCAGUGCCUUCUCCUACUGAUGAGGAUCAAGGCUGCCCCAGGGAGAGAAACCCAAGGUGACCUGCCCUACAUACCGAUCUAUAUCAUCCUCCGGGAAGCACAGGACGUCCUGACCUGAUCCCACCUGAUUCCUAUCCAAAGUUCCAGGACCACCCAAUAACCAGACCCCACCUGCACUGAUACCAUUUUAACAAUUUUUUUCAUGAUCUUUCCUUCGUCUUGUAAAGAAAUAACUCACAUACCUAUGCCUUAUAAAUUUAGCCCUACCCUCAACCCAUUGCAGCUCUUUACUGCCCACGGGCCCUGUCCCCAUGCUACUUCAUGCUAUUCUCUGAAUAAAGGAGCCCUACUGCCAG
ensembl:lncRNA